rnacentral:rRNA from 1 species
CUAAAAACAUUGCUCUUUUUUUCUGGUAUCCUCCUCGUGCCCGAGCGGAGGAGAGGGAGAGCGGGUUCAGGAGCAGCGACGGCGGCGGUGGUGGUGGGUGCGACACCGUUAGAGGCCGCUCGAGGCCGCGGCGUGUUGUGCGGGGUCUCGAGGGGUGCCAGGCGCAGAGGGAGGGGAGGCCGGUCUAAGACGCGAGGGCUGGAGAUGGCGGGCCAGCGUUGCGGUGGGGACACCGAUCCCAAACCCCGUCCCGAAGCGGCGGCGCAGAGGCCGCCGGGGCCCAAGCAGGGAGAAGGAUGGACCAGCCCUAGGUGGUGGGGAUGUGGAGUGGAAGCUGCGGUACCCUCAAGGGGUAGGUGGUACCAGCAGCGGCAGUUCCCGAAGAAGUGCUUCUACACUUCCUGCGGUACCUGGACGUCGAGGAAAAGAGGAGGUGGUGCCUGCGGCGGAGUGGGAAGGUUCGGCGGUCCGUGGGAUGUUUGCCCAGCCGGGUGUCGAGGAGGCGAGGAGACGGUAGAACUCUACGUGGACCUAGACCCGCUAAAGUCCCGGAAGUACCGAAAUCUUAGCCGGAGAGCAAGCCCUAGUCAAACCUAGAUCCUGUUCGGUUGGUACGACGACGCGGUUCGAGGAGAACUAUAUCAAAUGUACUUACGAUAGGCCCUCUUCCGUUUAUAGUCCUCGUUUAUUUUAGUUAGGGACAUGUUUAUUUUUGUGAGGGACGUUAGAUGGUAAAAAAACUCCUUAAUCGGUGUAAUCUCAUCAACUAUGUAACCUACUCAUAAGUCUUCCACGUCAGUUAAAAAGGAAACCGUAGAUCGGGAGGACAACCAUAUUAUUACGUUUAACGGAAAAAAUUUUUUUUAACCAGGAAGUAAAGAAAAGAAGCUCAAUAGACACAUAGAAAAUUCGAAAACGAUCCGCUCCUUUCCACCUGGUUCAUCAGAUCGUCUUGGUUAACGUAAAAACCCCAUAACCGAAGUCUAACCUCACCCUUCCAUAUCUAUACACAAGAAAGGUGUUCUUCUUGUUACUUAUGAUGAUGUUAGAAAAGAUCGUACCAAACAAGAGUCGGUGGACUCAAAAUAUUAGGAAGAUUUUGUCAGUGAAGGAAAGUAUACUUACGUGAAAAUCGUCUACUAUAAGACUGACCAGACGAUAUAAAACAAGUACUUCUGCAAGUACAAAUGAGGGACAAGUUAAGUUCAGACUUUCUAAGUAUAAACCCACCUGUCCAAAGUGACUAACUUUUAUAAACUCUACGAGAAAAACUACAUACCGUUAUACGAUAGAGUUUAUACCAUCUGCUCCUUAUGCCCGAGAAAACUUCUAUUUAUUUGAUCUAUUUUUUCUUAACUUUAUCGGUUCGUUCAAAGUAACGUACAAUUAAUAUACCAGACGACAUGACUUGGAAAAAGACGUUAAAAGAAUAAACAAGACGAACUUUUUCGAUUGUGACUAGAAAACGAUGCAAAACACAAUUACUCAUUUACAAAACAUGUCUUUUAGUCACGAUCUCUAAUCUUAACGGAGUAUAUAUUAUGAGGUAGACAGAGUAAUAUAUUCUGUAAAAAAGUACUCCAUCAUGGUUUAUACGGAAAUACACGAAAGAAGUUGUUCAGUUUACACACUGACUGGAGGUGGGUGGAGGGGUAAGCGUUGUUCGUGGUCCUGCACUGAAGCCAAGACGGUUCAUCCAAAAUUAUUUGUUUAGGAAGGAUUUAAUACUCAACAAAAGAAUGACUCGUUUGUCUUACGGGUUGUAAGGUUAAACACUACAAUUCCGAUUGUUCUCUACGUAUAUAGUAUAAAUUGUAUGAUAGACGUGAGAAGGAUUAAAUCAAAAAAAAAACGAACAGGUCUUUCUUAUUUAACUACAAGCUAAACUGAUGUUGGGAUGUUACAAACGAGACUUUCCGUACAUGAAAUUUUUUUCUGUACUACACGUAAACGUAUCAAACUGUUUAAGGCUAGUUACUUGACAUAAAACAAAAGACAAAAGUAACAUUGUAGUUGGAAUGCACCAAUAAGAAUAGUUACAAACUUGACUUCAAUAUGUUAUCUCCCGUACAUGAACUAACAAAAUCACAGUUAUAUAAGUCUUCUGUACCUAGGUAGUGCCUUCCUCAUCUCCUUCUGGUACCUUUCCUCCUCAAUGAUCCUCGUCUUAUGACCACUCAAUUGAAGCCAAAAGUCUUAACUUCGAAGUUAGUCCACUUCACCAAGGAAACCUGUAACUAUAGACGACGUAUUAUAUACAUCUAUUUCCUUUUAACUUAAUUCUUGAGUUAGCCUCGUCUCUGGUACUCAACACCUGGUAUAUUACAACAGACGAAGUGAAAGUCAAAGACGACCCUUUUAAACGUCUUGGCCUAUUACAGAGUUGUGACUGAUCUUCUUUCCUUCGGUGUAUAUCGACCAAGCCGGUCGGUUGAUUAGGUACUUUAAAUGGAAGAAACAGAAAGGAAAAAUUACGAGUAGUGUAAAAAUAUAUACACGUGGUAUCAAUUUCAAACGUUUAUAAUAACGCGUUUUCGUCAGACAAGGAACGUGGACAAAACGUUCGACCUAAUAAGUUUCUUAUAUAUGUUUCUACCUUUUCCGUCAGCACAGUCUAAUUACACCCCUCCCGUUAUAACCCAUCUCUAAGAACGUAGACGUGCAAUUCAAACACCGUUAGCACUUAACGAAAUAAAAGGACGGUAAGCAUAAAGAACACACUUAUUGUAGUUCUACUAAAACUCGGACCUUUGAAGUUCGCACAGUAUUCCGUCCUUUGUUUAGACAUCUCUUCAUAUCCACUACACGAUCUUUUGUACCGGCACGGUGACUAAAAAGUCGACCAGCACGAAGUAGACAUACUACGAAAACAACUAAUGGUCGAAUACAUCCAACGAAUCUUCGCUCCGGAAGGGUAUCAACUGCUUCUAUACACAUUGGUCACUUCUUAUAAUCCUACCCUUAAAAUGGAUAAGAUACCUGAUCGAUGUCAAGAACCACGGAAUAUUUACUAUUUCUCUCCAGAAAGACUGAUUUAUUAUUAAAGGUAAUCAAUGAUGAAAAGUCAAAAUCUAAGGUAACAUUACAACGACUACUACAGUUGUGACCAAACUGAAGAGUAUAUAUGCUAGAGAUUAAUAAAGUCUUCUAUUAGUUAGACAAGUAUAGUAUGAUGAAGGGUAAUAUUGAAAGGGACACAUAUGAAACCAUCAUCACACGAAAUAAUAAUCCGGGGCAUUUCUAUACCUCAUUUAAGACGUGGCGAUACUGGAAAUGGAAGAAACAAUCAAAGAACCAGCAGAAAAGUCUAUAUGUUAACAAAUGGUUUAGCGCCGAAACGUCCCUCCUCCACAACAGCGGUUGGAGUGCAACUACACGCCAUGAACGCGGAGAGACGAAGUAUACCUGUAUUCCGUGGUUUGAUCUUGUAAAGGUAGUACAAUAAACCACAAAUCUUUCACAAAUAGACAUUCGAUGUAAUUAUGUGAUCAUCAGGGUGUUGCAAAACGUAUACUUAUCAACAUCUUCUUUGUACUAUUGUCCAAAGAAAACAACGAUUGCACAUCUCAAUGACAUGUUUACGUAAAAAACGAUGUCUAAAUGCCCAGUAAUAAAUCGAUAAAGCCAAGGAGGAAUACUUAUCUAAAAAGAUACAUAUACCGCCUUCUAUUAUAUCUGGAGAUAAACAUUUGUAGGUAUAUCAAACACCUUUUACCUUUUGGAAUG